rnacentral:lncRNA from 1 species
GCACCCUCUUCCAGGUGCAAAUGCAGAGCAGCGCAGCUGCGGCUGUACCAUUGUGCAGCAUUCAUGGUUGCCGUGGCAGUGGCCGGAAGUUUCCCAACUGCUGUCAUGGCUCAGGAUGCCAGCAUUCACACUGUGAAUGCUGGUAUCCUGUUGCUGUUCUCUUUGAAGGCCUGGCAGUGCAAAUGGCUUUCUUGCUGCCUUUUCUAAGAUGGAAAAUGCAAAAAGGCUGCUGGAUGGAGACUCAGGAACAUAUGUGUUGCACUUAGUCAUGACGUAGCCUCACUGUAGGCAAGGAAAAAAAACCCUGCAAAGCAGUAUUAAUAGCAAUGUACCAGUUAAUUCAAUGAGCCUUUUAGAAGUCUUUCUUAGUCACAGGGGUAGUAAUCCAUGUUGUGCUGUGUGGACGGAGAUUCUGUUGGCAGGAAAAUUAAAAUGGAGGUUAGAAUAGAGGGAAGAUGGAUUGGAAAUAUCAUAGGUGGGAAAGGUAAAUGCAUACUACUCCUUUAUACUUCUCUUGAACAGAACCUCCUUCAAUUCCAAUUGUGCUUGCAGGGACUUCUGCUUGUGCUUCCUGCCAUACACUCACUGGCCAAAUCCCAGCUCAAUCCAGCAGUGGACUUUUAUACAGCAACAACCCAAACACAUGAGGGUGUAUCCCUGGCAAUAAGGCAGCUUUGAAAUUUCUGCCAAGAAGAUGAGCAUUUUCCGUCCGGUGCAAAAUUGUGCUAGGCAAAAUCAACCCUGGUAAGUUACUCUAUCACCUGUCUACACAGUAGUAGGAGAUAGAAAUUAAGGUGGUUUCAUGCUUGAGGAGCUACUUGGGAUCAGGAACAUUUGCCUGCCAGACCUUAGGGAAACUCUAAGAGUACACAAUAUCAGUGAUGUGGAUGCAGCCAAAUAUUCCAAAUUCAGGUGGAUACAAAUAAAUACAUGAAAUGAAGAUUAAUUUCCCUAUGU